rnacentral:rRNA from 1 species
UACGUAGGGGGCAAGCGUUGUCCGGCAUUAUUGGGCGUAAAGAGCGUGUAGGCGGUCCGGUAAGUCAGCUGUGAAAGUCAAGGGCUCAACCCUUGAAUGCCGGUUGAUACUGUCGGGCUAGAGUCCGGAAGAGGCGAGUGGAAUUCCCGGUGUAGCGGUGAAAUGCGCAGAUAUCAGGAGGAACACCGAUGGCGAAGGCAGUCUUCUGGGCCAACACUGACGCUGAGGAGCGAAAGCGUGGGGAGCGAACAGG